ensembl:lncRNA
AGUUUCAUCCUAACGUCCCGCACCUGCGCACCUGCCCUGGGCCCCAGGCCCUUUCUAGUCAAACCAGCGGGCUGAUCCGCGGUCCCCAUCUCACCCAUGAUGCUUUGCGCGGCUGCCUCUCUGAACCUCCCAGUUUCCACAGUUGGGUAUGCUGCGCGGUCCGCUUUCACCUUCUGAACCAGGGGCUUGACACCCAUAGCCCAAUCCAGCCCCCACCUGCGAUUUGUUUUGCCCAUGCAGGGUUUGUAAAAUGGUAAUAAGGUACCAGCUCUUAAAUACCUGGUGAUUGUUGCAUAAAAAUCUGUAUUCCUGGCUUUCCAUCAAAAGACACAGCCUCUAUGAAUCUCAGAGGCAGUGCUCAGUAAGACUGGACCCCACCCCCAGGAGACAGCGCAGGUCUGCCAGUUCUCACAUGAUCACUUUCCCAGGCUUCCCUGGUGGUCCAGUGGUUAAGAAUCUGCCUUGCAAUGCAAAGGACACUGGUUCGGUCUCUGGGCUGGGAAGAUCCCACAUGCUUAGGAGCCACUAAGCCCGUGCGCCGCAACUACUGAGCCCACUCGCCGUGGCUGCUGAAGCCUGCAUGCCUAGAGCUCAUGCUCCACCACAGGAGAAGCCUCUGCAGUGAGAAGCCCGCACAUGGCAACAAAGAGUAGCUGCUGCUCCCACCACAACUAGAGAAAGCUCACGAGCAGCAGUGAAGACCCACCACAGCCAACAGAUAAAAUAAAUAAAUCUUUAAAAAAUAUGUCACUUUCCCAGUGAUCCUCACCUGAAGCUGACUGUGCCCCCUCAACAAGGGAGGGCACAACUAGGCAAAUGCUAUUGGCAUAUGGUGGGGGAGAGGACGGGGAUACUUUUUCCACACCCUCCAAUGCACAGGAUAGGUCCCAUGCAGCAAAGAAUCAGCCAGCCCCAAAUGUCCGUGGUCCAUGGUUAGGAAGCCCUGGGCUCCCUAGCUCCACAGAUUACUUCUAUCUGUCCUUGAGUGAUAGGAAUGUCAUCAUGCAUUGCAUCCCAUUUGUGUCCUGUGGGCAACACGCACAGGGCUGUGUAUGUGUUCAUGCA